UAGAAGGCGAGAAAAGCUGUGUGAAUAGAAGAUAGAGCCCGUACCGCAAACCGACACAGGUAGAUAGGAAGAAGAUUCUAAGGCCAACGGGAGAAGGGUUGUUAAGGAACUCGGCAAGUUGACCCCGUAACUUAGGGAGAAGGGGUGCUCUUUAAGGAGAGCCGCAGAGAAUAGGCCCAAGCGACUGUUUAGCAAAAACACAGCUCUAUGCUAAAUCGAAAGAUGACGUAUAUGGGGUGACACCUGCCCGGUGCCGGAAGGUUAAGAGGAGGAGUGAGAGCUCUGAAUUGAAGCCCCGGUAAACGGCGGCCGUAACGAUAACGGUCCUAAGGUAGCGAAAUUCCUUGUCAGGUAAGUUCUGACCCGCACGAAUGGUGUAACGAUUUGGGCACUGUCUCAACAACCUGCCCGGCGAAAUUGUAGUACCGGUGAAGAUGCCGGUUACCCGCGACUAGACGGAAAGACCCCAUGGAGCUUUACUGCAGCUUAAUAUUGAAUUUCGGUAUUUCAUGUACAGGAUAGGUGGGAGACAGGGAACCAUAGGCGUCAGCUUAUGGGGAGUCGACCUUGGGAUACCACUCUUGAGGUGCUGGAAUUCUAACCUGUGGCUCUGAAUCGAGUCAGGGGACAUUGUUAGGCGGGCAGUUUGACUGGGGCGGUCGCCUCCAAAAAGGUAACGGAGGCGCUCAAAGGUUCGCUCAGCAUGGAUGGAAACCAUGCUUUUGAGUGUAAACGCAAAAGCGAGCCUAACUGCGAGACUGACGGGUCGAGCAGUAACGAAAGUUGGAGUUAGUGAUCCGGCGGUAUGUGAGUGGAAAUGCCGUCGCUCAACGGAUAAAAGCUACCCUGGGGAUAACAGGCUGAUCUCCCCCAAGAGUCCACAUCGACGGGGAGGUUUGGCACCUCGAUGUCGGCUCAUCGCAUCCUGGGGCUGAAUUCGGUCCCAAGGGUUUGGCUGUUCGCCAAUUAAAGCGGUACGCGAGCUGGGUUCAGAACGUCGUGAGACAGUUCGGUCCCUAUCUGUCGUGGGCGUAGGAUAUUUGAAAGGAGCUGUCCCUAGUACGAGAGGACCGGGAUGGACGCACCGCUGGUGCACCAGUUGUCAUGCCAAUGGCACAGCUGGGCAGCUAUGUGCGGAACGGAUAACGCUGAAGGCAUCUAAGCGUGAAGCCGACCUUAAGAUAAGAUAUCCCUUCGUAAGAGUAAGACCUCUCAUAGACUAUGAGUUUGAUAGGCCUAAGGUGUAAGCACAGUGAUGUGUUCAGCCUGCAGGUACUAAUCGGUCGAGGGCUUUUUCAA
rnacentral:rRNA from 1 species